GCAGAAGUAAAGAGACGACUGGAAGAAGAAGAACGGCAAAGAGAAGAGCAGGAAGCUGAAGAUCGCCGCCAAGAAGCCAUUAGGAGGAGAAAGCGAUUGGAACAGAUGAGGCGCAACGAAGAUGGGGAAGAGAUUGCUGGCACGAUACCUGGUAACCAGGGACAACCGGACCUUGGGAUGCCCUCCGAUGCGGAAUUAACAGCGGAGGA